rnacentral:rRNA from 1 species
UUUAAACCUCUUCCAGAGUAUCAAUUGGAGGGCAAGUCUGGUGCCAGCAGCCGCGGUAAUUCCAGCUCCAAUAGCGUAUAUUAAAAUUGUUGCAGUUAAAAAGCUCGUAGUUGAAUUUCUGCCGCAUCGCGGCGGCCCUCCCGGGCCCAGCGUUGCGGCUUAUUUCGGACUCGCUUGCGUCUCCGAAUGUUUACUUUGAGAAAAUUAGAGUGCUCAAAGCAGGCCCUUGCCUUGAAUACUUUAGCAUGGAAUAAUAAAGUAGGACUUUGGUUCUAUUUUGUUGGUUUAGCGCCAAAGUAAUGGUUAAUAGGAACAGUUGGGGGCAUUCGUAUUUAACUGUCAGAGGUGAAAUUCUUAGAUUUGUUAAAGACGAACCACUGCGAAAGCAUUUGCCAAGGAUGUUUUCAUUAAUCAAGAACGAAAGUUAGGGGAUCGAAGACGAUCAGAUACCGUCGUAGUCCUAACCAUAAACCAUGCCGACUAGAGAUUGGAGGUCGUCAGUUUUUACGACUCCUUCAGCACCUUGAGAGAAAUCAAAGUCUUUGGGUUCUGGGGGGAGUAUUGUCGCAAGGCUGAAAC